rnacentral:rRNA from 1 species
GCAAGUCGAGGGGAAACGGCAUUGAGUGCUUGCACUGACUGGACGUCGACCGGCGCACGGGUGAUCACGCGUAUCCAACCUUCCCGUUACUGCGGGAUAACCUGCCGAUAGGCAGACUAAUACCGCAUGUUCUUCGAUGACGGCAUCAGCUUCGAAGCAAAGACUCGUCGGUAACGGAGGGGGAUGCGUCUGAUUAGCUAGUUGGCGGGGCGACGGCCCACCAAGGCGACGAUCAGUAGGGGUUCUGAGAGGAAGGUC